rnacentral:misc_RNA from 1 species
AUCUGGAUUACAUACAAAUGCGAGAUUACUCGAUAGAAAAUAAAUAUUUGACAUACCCUACUAAAGAAGCCAUUUUUCGAAACAGCAGGAUAUGAUCACAUAUUUAAUAAGAAACCAUGUUAACCCUUAACUUCCUGAGUCAACUGGACUCACAUUGAAAUUUUAAACUACUAUAAUUUUAAAGUUUUAGCGACUAGUUUCCCCCCCGUCCCAGUACCUUCCUCCAGUGACGCCGGUAUCGCGGUGGCAAGAGGACGUGUGCCUGCUGCUCGUAUUUGGUUGUCUGGAACCAAGUUUACUGCAGUCUAUGGCGCAGAACACAAGACUCCGUUUUGAACAGUGUUCAACUCGAUGGAAGACAUCUGGAUGACAUACUGUUUAAAAAAAAAAAUGCGCAUUUCUAUUCUCUUGUUCAAUGCUCUUAAUAAAACUUUGUAUCAAUUA